rnacentral:lncRNA from 1 species
GAGCUUGAGCUUUGUAUUGACCAAAUUAGAGCUUAUCUACGAUGCUAUUAGUGUAGAAUAGGUAGAGACACCACCUUGCACCAUCAAUUAGGUGAUAUAGCUUGAUUUUAUUGGAGAUUAAUUGUAGUUUCAUGUAUGGAGAGAAAAGGCAUUCUAGAUCUAGGGUUUCCUUUUUUUGUUUUUGUUUCAUGAAUUUGGAAUGUGGUUGGCAUGAAUAGUUAUUGGUAAACUAAUAGUUGUUGUUAAUAUUAAUUAUUUCUAAUAAUGGUAG